AAGACUAUAGACCUGCGGAGUACCUGCGGAGGGAUCAUUAUCGUAUUGUAACAAUUGGGGGGGCCACCGUGGGCUGUCGCUGACCCUUUGAAAGGGGGGUCGUGCACGCCCCCAUAGUGUCAUCCUCAUACAAUCCAACUCACCUCUGUGCAUCACCGCGUGGGUUCCUUUCUGGGUCGAGUCAGACUGGCUCAGAAAAAAGGGGCUUGCGUUUUCCAUACAACUACCCUUAUAAAUCCA
rnacentral:misc_RNA from 1 species